AUGAACAAAUGGAAACAUACCCUGGAAGUUGACAACACCUGCAAUAUUUGUGGCAACGGAGAUGAAGAUGAAUAUCAUGCAGUGAUUUCCUGUACAAAAAGCAAGGCUCUAAGGAGUGAAAUGCGGAAAAUCUGGGAUCUUCCUAGCGAGUUGCAGUUUAGAUACACUGGGGUGGACUGGCUUCAGAAUCUCCUAGGAACUUGCAAUAUGGAAAUGAGGGUCAAAACCUUACUGCUGCUGUGGAGGUGUUGGUUCCUAUGUGAUGACUGCAUCCAUAGUACAGGGAAGGAGUUAAUCAGCAGAUCAGUUCAUUUUUUGGAGCAAUAUGAGGAGGAACUGAACAUCUGCUACAUGGUGUUUUCGUCAGGCCCAAAGGACAAACAGGCCUUGGGGCAUACUGAGGUUGCUUUGGCUGGGAAAGAUCGGACUGAAGUUGAAGCUAUUGCGGCAAUGCAGCAGGAAAAUGGUUCGGAUCCUGCUUCUGUUGCAGCAAUUUAG
rnacentral:rRNA from 1 species